GAGGGUAUAGCUCAGUGGUAGAGCCCGUGCUUAGCAUGCAUUAGGUCCUGGUUCAAUCUCCAGUACCUUCA
rfam:Camelus ferus unplaced genomic scaffold scaffold719, whole genome shotgun sequence.